CUGUGCAAAGGUAGCAUAAUCAUUAGUUUUUUAAUUGAAGGCUUGUAUGAAUGGUCUGACAAAGUAAAAGCUGUCUUUAAUUUUAUUUUUGAAAUUAACUUUUAAGUGAAAAGGCUUAAAUAAAUUUAAGGGACGAUAAGACCCUAUAAAUCUUUAUAUUAAUUUGUUAUUUUAAAAAAUUAAUAGAUUUUGUUUUAAAAAAUAAAUAAACAAAUAAUAUUUUAUUGGGGUGAUGAGAAUAUAUAAAAAACUGUUCUUAAAAUAAACAAAGUUAUUUGUUAAGAAAAAAAAAUAAUAGAUCCUUUAUUAAGAUAAAAAGUUUAAGUUACUUUAGGGAUAACAGCGUUAUUUUUUUUGAGAGUUCCUAUCGAAAAAAAAGUUUGCGACCUCGAUGUUGAAUUAAAAUUUCUCUGCGGUGUAGAAGUUGUAGAAGAAAGUCUGUUCGACUUUUGAAAUUUU
rnacentral:rRNA from 1 species